rnacentral:rRNA from 1 species
AUUGAACGCUGGCGGCAGGCCUAACACAUGCAAGUCGAACGAGUGGCGGACGGGUGAGUAAUGUCUGGGAAACUGCCUGAUGGAGGGGGAUAACUACUGGAAACGGUAACUAAUACCGCAUAACAUCAGAUGUGCCCGGAUGGGAAUAGCCAGUUGGUGGGGUAACGGCUCACCAAGGAGAAGAUCCCUAGCUGGUCUGAGAGGCUGACCAGCCACACUGGAACUGAGACAGGGUCAAGAUCCCUACGGGAGGCACCAGUGGGGAAUAUGGCACAAUGGGCGCAAGCCUGAUGAAGCAAUGCCGGUGGUAGGAAGAAGGCCUUCGGGUUGAAAAGUACUUUCAGCGGGGAGGCUUUACCAGAAGAAGAAGCACCGGCUAACUCCGUGCCAGCAGCCGCGGUAAUAC